rnacentral:misc_RNA from 1 species
GGAACACGUCUUCAUAUAUUAUUAGGGCUAAAAAGAGUGGUGGUAUUGCUUCUUUGGUGUCUCCUUGUCCUGUGACUCCUGCUGUCUUGCCCACUCCGAUGUUUUCUCCAUCUAGGGAAGUGUUGAUAGAUAUGGCGAAAGAGGAGUGGGGAGUGGAUGGGUAUGGAUCGAUGAAUGGGUUGAUUAGACUGAGGUCGCCAGGUCACGAGGCAGAAGGACCUGAGGAUGAGGAAGAAGAGGAGGGAGGAUCAAGUGAGAGUGAUGUGGAAGAACAUGUGGAGGUUGAAAGGCGGUUGGAUCAUGAUUUGAGCAGGUUUGAGAUGAUUUACCCAAACUAUAGCGGGACAGAGUAUAACAAUGUGUUGGGUAACCGUGUGGAUGAUCAGGAUACCCAUAUUGCUCAAUUGGAGGAAGAGAACUUGAUUUUGAAGGAUAGAUUGUUCUUGAUGGAGAGGGAGUUGGGUGAUUUGAGGAGGAGGUUGCUGAGUCUUGAGAGGCAAGGCCGUGGCUAUGAUGAGAUGAAUGAGGAGGUUGUGGAGAAUGAGACUGAGAGUGAGACUGAGAGUCAUGGCGAUGGCCAUUCUUUGGAGGAUAACAAUGCUGAACUGAUUGAAAGGCCCAUGGAAGGAGUUGGGAAUGUGAAGGGGAAUGAAGAGAAUAGGAUUGAGGAUGACACAGAGUUUGCAGAAAAUGAAGAGAGAGUUGGAAAAGAAAGGGAACAGGUUGAUGGAGAUGAUGUGACUGUUGAAAAGGAAUCCAAUGAAGUUGGAAAAGAAGAUGAAGUUGAUGGAGGAGAUGGUAUGUUCGGACUCCUUAAGAAGGAAAUCAUUGACAAUCCUGAAAGCAAGAGUGAAUUUAAAGAUGAUGGAGCCGUGAAAACUGGGGAUGAGGUUGAGUUCAGUCAAUUGAACAAGAACAAUGAAAAUGAGGUUGAGGCAUCGGAUAAUGCAAUUGAUGAAGAUGUUACCAUGGAGGAGGCUUCUAGAGUGGAUGUUGAUGAAGAUUCCCAAACAAAGAAUGAGGAUGAAUUGACAGGAGAUAAAUGAUGAAGAGCAUUUUCGAAGGUGACUUGUCUAAGUUUCCCUCAUCAAUGUACGUCUCUUCUUUGAGAAGCUUCCAUGUUGACUUGUGUGAUUAUUUGUCACCAUUUUCGAUAUAUCUGUACUGCAGUACAUAAUGUUUACCGUUCUUCUGACAGUGGCAAAGAGAAUCAAAUCUUCCUGUUGAGUUUCACCUAAUAAAGUGCUAACAUAGUUACUUCUUUAGGUGUUCUCAAUCUUUUCCUUUUCCUUACUUUAAUGUCUAGUUUUUUGGCAGCUGUUUGUAGAAGGGAAGUCUAGGUGUUAUGAAAGGUUAGAUACUGUGUUGCUUGAUACAAAGAUACAGCUAUGUAAUAAUCUCUUUUUAAUUGGAUUUGGAAAUUUUCAUAUUAUUCAUGUCAUGUGCUUAUUAUCGGUUUAAUGUUGUAUUUAGCAUGGUUGUCCCCCCGG